GGGCCGCUGUGGCUCAGGUGGUAGAGCGGGUCGACCAUCAAUCGUAGGGUUGGCGGUUCGAUUCCCGGCCCA